GAGUUUGAUCUUGGCUCAGAACGAACGCUGGCGGCAUGCCUAACACAUGCAAGUCGAACGCGUGUAGCAAUACACGAGUGGCGCACGGGUGAGUAACGCGUGGGAACCGUGCCCAGUGGUAGGGGAAUAACUGCGGGAAACUGCAGCUAAUACCCUAUACGCCCUACGGGGGAAAGGUUUUCGUCCAUUGGAGGGGCCCGCGUCGGAUUAGCUAGUUGGUGAGGUAAGAGCUUACCAAGGCGACGAUCCGUAGCUGGUCUGAGAGGAUGAUCAGCCACACUGGGACGUGAGACACGGCCCACGACUCCUACGGGAGGGCAGCAGUGGGGAAGUAUUGGACAAUGGGCGGCAAGCCUGAUCCAGCCAUGCCGCGUG
rnacentral:rRNA from 1 species